CCAAAGCGCCAGUCAUGGGAACCCCAAUCUAUAGCUCAGGGUGGACCACCCGGGGUGUGUGACUGAUGUUGGAGGUGGAGGGCAGUCUUACAGAACUGAGCCCUCACUCCAUGGGAUCUGAUAACCUGGAUGGUGUCAGAAUGAAAGUGAAUUAGAGGGCUCCCAGCUGGUGUCCACUACAUAAGUCACUGUUUGCUUGGUGUGUGGGGAAACCUUCCACACGUUUGGUCACAGAAGGCUUCUGUGUUGAUGGUUGUGGGGUGAGAGCAGAUGUAAAACAGUUUGUUUUUUCUCCUCAGUGACUACAAGGCAAGGACGGAGGCCUCAGAAGAAACCAAAUCUGUCGACACCUUGAUCUGGGACUCCUGGCCUCCAGAACUGUGAGAAGAUAAAUUUCUAUUGGCCUUCAGUAUCUUACUAUGACAGCCCAAGCUGACCACCACAGUAGGGGUCUCUGAGCUACCUAGAGGAUAAAGCAAAGAAGAGAUGAGAUGAGGGAACAGAGGUGAUGUGCAGGGACUUGCAUGCCACACUAAGGGGCUUGAAGAUUUUCCUGCAGGACUAUGGUUAUGCAGACAUGGAGAAUGGAGCUGACCUCUCAGUUGGAGGGACUGAACCUGUAAGAGGUGAAGGGAUUUGCACAGUGAAGCAGCUCACAGGGUUACUGCCUACCAGGCUGCCAAACCCCAACUCUCACCACGUCCACAGCCACCACAUGAAGUGACUAUUAGAACUUCAAAUGAAGGAUCUGACCCCGGAAAUGGCCCCAUGCUAGUUUUUCCUAAACAGUCACCAGAAAAAUGUCAGAAGGCAAAUCAAAAUGCACACUCUGAAAGAGAAUAUAACCAUCACAUCUUGGGGGAGAAGGAGCACACCCCAACUUAAUUUAAAAAGGAAGCACAGCAGAUGCAGUCAGUUGGCCGGGAAGUGUCUUAAAGGAAAGAAGGAAGGGAUGGAGCCUCACCUUAACA